rnacentral:rRNA from 1 species
GACGAACGCUGGCGGCGUGCUUAACACAUGCAAGUCGAACGGUGAACCAGGGCUUGCCCUGGGGAUCAGUGGCGAACGGUGAGUAACACGUGGGCAACCUGCCCCUGACUCUGGGAUAACUCCUCGAAAGAGGUGCUAAUACCGGAUACGACCACUUCGGGCAUCCGAUGGUGGUGGAAAGAAUUUUGGUCAGGGAUGGGCCCGCGGCCUAUCAGCUUGUUGGUGGGGUAACGGCCCACCAAGGCGACGACGGGUAGCCGGCCUGAGAGGGCGACCGGCCACACUGGGACUGAGACACGGCCCAGACUCCUACGGGAGGCAGCAGUGGGAAAUAUUGCGCAAUGGGCGAAAGCCUGACGCAGCGACGCCGCGUGAGGGACGACGGCCUUC